GUCAGGAUGGCCGAGCGGUCUAAGGCGCUAGAUUCAGGCUCUGUGGGCGUGGGUUCGAAUCCCACUCCUGACA